AAUACAGAGCCCCUAUUUUGGUGAAAUUUUGCUCAUGUCUCUCCAUCCCUCUCAAAAUAUCUCAGACACACACUCUCUCUCUCUUUCUGAAAGGCUCCAACUUUCUCCAUUUCCACACCACAAAACCCUUCUCAAGACCUCAAGUUACCAACAUAGCAUAAGAAAAGAAAAGGUCAAUUAAUUUCUUGCAUUGUAGGAGAAUCUAUGGCUGCAAACCAAGGAAGAGAUGCUGUUGUUGAGGCGGAGAAGGAAAAGCUGAGGAACAAAAUUCGGAAAACGGAAGCUACAAUUGCAGAUCAGCAAAAGAGAAUCGGCUAUCUAAAAUCAGCCGGCAGAGAACUUCUCAUCCUUUUCGUUGCCUUGUAUGGACGUUUUCUCUGGAUCAUCAAUGGCGGCAAAGGUUUGAGAUGCUCCGACUAUUGGUUCUUCCUCGGCUAUCAUAUGUUCCUAUGCGCGGUUGGCUGGUCUUUAGCAGUAAACGGAGUCUACUAUAUCCUUAGUAUUAAGGAGAGCGACCGGACCUUGAAUGAGUGCAGGGAGUUGAAGAAAACGCUUGCUGUUCUUGAUGGAUCCAAUAUUCCAAACUUUGAUGGAGAGCCGAGUCAAAAUGCUUUUGGAGUUUGGAAGAUCAUCAGCGCUAUCGUACUGAACUCUCUCGUGUCUGAUAUGCUGAUCAGUUGCUUCUUGUUGUUUUCGGCUACCUUUACCAAUCUUUGCAGGAAGGGAGGUGUAGAGUGAGUGACUAGCCUAGCCAUGCUUCGUGCUCUGGUAUUCGGAUGUAAAAGCUUAUGACUAAACUUGCUGCGGUUUACCUUACCUGAUUUGUUAACUGCACAUCUCUAUGGUAGUUUUUGUAACUCGAGUGCAGUUCAGACACUUUUCGAAUCCAAUCAAAGUCAUGGAGUAGUAGUUUCCUUAAA